rnacentral:rRNA from 1 species
AUUGAACGCUGGCGGCAGGCCUAACACAUGCAAGUCGAGCGAGCGGCGGACGGGUGAGUAAUGUCUGGGAAACUGCCUGAUAGAGGGGGAUAACUACUGGAAACGGUAGCUAAUACCGCAUACCAUCAGAUGUACCCAGAGGGGAUUAGCUAGUAGGUGGGGUAAAUGCUCACCUAGGCGACGAUCUCUAGCUGGUCUGAGAGGAUGACCAGCCACACUGGGACUGAGACACGGGCCAGACUCCUACGGGAGGCAGCAGUGGGGAAUAUUGCACAAUGGGCGCAAGCCUGAUGCAGCCAUGCCGCGUGUAUGAAGAAGGCCUUCGGGUUGUAAAGUACUUUCAGCGGGGAGGCGUUACCCGCAGAAGAAGCACCGGCUAACUCCGUGCCAGCAGCCGCGGUAAUAC